rnacentral:rRNA from 1 species
GAUAAACGCUGGCGGCGUGCCUUACGCAUGCAAGUCGAACGGCGCCCUUCGGGGUGCAGUGGCGGACGGGUGAGUAACACGUACGUGACCUGACGCGAAGUGGGGGAUACCGGUCCGAAAGGGCCGCUAAUACCGCAUGUGCUCCCCGGCGCAGGCCGGGGAGUAAAGGCGCAAGCCGCUUGGUGAGGGGCGUGCGGCCGAUUAGCUAGUUGGUGGGGUAACGGCCUACCAAGGCGACGAUCGGUAGCUGGGCUGAGAGGCCGGACAGCCACACUGG